rnacentral:rRNA from 1 species
AGUGAACGCUGGCGGUAGGCCUAACACAUGCAAGUCGAACGGCAGCACAGUAAGAGCUUGCUCUUACGGGUGGCGAGUGGCGGACGGGUGAGGAAUACAUCGGAAUCUACUUUUUCGUGGGGGAUAACGUAGGGAAACUUACGCUAAUACCGCAUACGACCUACGGGUGAAAGCAGGGAUCUUCGGACCUUGCGCGAUUGAAUGAGCCGAUGUCGGAUUAGCUAGUUGGCGGGGUAAAGGCCCACCAAGGCGACGAUCCGUAGCUGGUCUGAGAGGAUGAUCAGCCACACUGGAACUGAGACACGGUCCAGACUCCUACGGGAGGCGGCAGUGGGGAAUAUUGGACAAUGGGCGCAAGCCUGAUCCAGCCAUACCGCGUGGGUGAAGAAGGCCUUCGGGUUGUAAAGCCCUUUUGUUGGGAAAGAAAAGCAGCAGGUUAAUACCCCGCUGUUCUGACGGUACCCAAAGAAUAAGCACCGGCUAACUUCGUG